GGGAAACGAGGAUAGGUCACCUGAUGUGAAGUGUUUACCGCCGCCGGUGAACAUUUGCAGCACCAGAGGCACCAUGCGUUG